UACGGGGGGGGCAAGCGUUGUUCGGAAUUACUGGGCGUAAAGGGCGCGUAGGCGGUUGGAUAAGUCAGCUGUGAAAACCACGGGCUUAACUCGUGGCCUGCAGUUGAGACUGUCUGGCUUGAGUGUGGGAGAGGAGAGUGGAAUUCCUGGUGUAGCGGUGAAAUGCGUAGAUAUCAGGAGGAACACCGGUGGCGAAGGCGGCUCUCUGGACCACAACUGACGCUGAGACGCGAAAGCGUGGGGAGCAAACAGG
rnacentral:rRNA from 1 species